rnacentral:rRNA from 1 species
CCUACGGGGUGCUGCAGUGGGGAAUAGUGCACAAUGGGGGAAACCCUGAUGCAGCAACGCCGCGUGAGUGAAGAAGGUUUUCGGAUUGUAAAGCUCUGUUAGCAGGGAAGAGGAAGGACGGUACCGGCAGAGGAAGCCACGGCUAACUAAGUGCCAGCAGCCGCGGUAAUACGGAGGUGGCAAGCGUUGUUCGGAAUAACUGGGCGUAAAGGAUGCGUAGGCGGUUACACAAGUUAUAUGUUAAAUAUAUAGGCUUAACCUGUAGAAAGCAUCUAAAACUUUUUAACUAGAGCGCAGGAGAGUUAAGUGGACUUCCUAGUGUAGCGGUGACAUGCGUAGAGAUUAGGCAGAACACCAGUGGCGAAGGCGCCUUCCUGGACUGUACCUGACGCUGAGGCAUGAUAGCCUGGGGAGCAAACAGGAUUAGAUACCCCGGUAGUC